GGACACAGGCGCGGAAAGAGCAGGAGGGUCAUCUUUUGGAGCCGCUUGAGCUGGACAGUCUUCUUUUUUAACUACAGGACUUUCCUUGCGUACUGGGGGAGCAGCAAAUACAGGAAUUGCUUGCCUAAUGGAAACCGGUGGAGCGAUCCGUACGGGUGGGACUCGAAUUACUUGCUGUGGUGGAAGCUUUGAUGGUUGUGGUAGAGGCGGGGCAGAAUACACAGGCAUUGCUGUUCUAAUUGUAACUGGUGGGGCAAUACCAUGGCAAGAUGUCCUAAACUGGUGAACG
rnacentral:misc_RNA from 1 species